UUAGAUUUUAUUUAUUAAUUUUAUUAAUUUUUUUGUAAAAUAUUAAAAAUAAUUUUAUAAUAAAAAGUUUUAGUAUUGUUUAAAGAAAAAAUAAAUUUAAUUAUAGUUUAAUAGUAUUGUAAAAGAAAAUUGAAAUAAUUUGAAAAAUUAUUAUUUUAAAAGAAA
rnacentral:rRNA from 1 species